rnacentral:rRNA from 1 species
UACGGAGGGUGCAAGCGUUAUCCGGAUUCACUGGGUUUAGAGGGUGCGUAGGCGGGUAUUUAAGUCAGUGGUGAAAUCCUAGAGCUUAACUCUAGAACUGCCAUUGAUACUAUUUAUCUUGAAUAUUGUGGAGGUAAGCGGAAUAUGUCAUGUAGCGGUGAAAUGCUUAGAUAUGACAUAGAACACCUAUUGCGAAGGCAGCUUACUACGCAUAUAUUGACGCUGAGGCACGAAAGCGUGGGGAUCAAACAG